rnacentral:rRNA from 1 species
AUUGAACGCUGGCGGAAUGCUUUACACAUGCAAGUUGAACGGCAGCACGGGGCAACCUGGUGGCGAGUGGCGAACGGGUGAGUAAUAUAUCGGAACGUGCCCAAUCGUGGGGGAUAACGUAGCGAAAGUUACGCUAAUACCGCAUACGAUCUACGGAUGAAAGCGGGGGAUCGCAAGACCUCGCGCGAAUGGAGCGGCCGAUAUCAGAUUAGGUAGUUGGUGGGGUAAAGGCUCACCAAGCCAACGAUCUGUAGCUGGUCUGAGAGGACGACCAGCCACACUGGAACUGAGACACGGUCCAGACUCCUACGGAGGCAGCAGUGGGGAAUUUUGGGACAAUGGCGCAAGCCUGACUACGACGCUACUUCCGCGUCGACGAAGGUA